GGCUCUUCUGCAGCAGAAGCGCCUGGCUGCUGCUCUACAUGGAUAGGCAUGGGGACGAGGACCCUCUCCCAUCCCAUUGGACACAGGGGGAUCACGUUUUGAUGUCUGUGUUUUUAGAUUGAACCAGGUGGGGAAAACCAUGUCCUGUCCCCCUCCCGUGGAAUGAGGAGAUGAUGAUCAUCCCUGGAGGAAUCGCCUGAUCCCCUGUGAGCCCUGGGCCUUUUUCCUCAAAUGGCCAAUAAACCCCUUCAGCAAAU